rnacentral:rRNA from 1 species
UACGUAGGGCGCAAGCGUUGUCCGGAAUUAUUGGGCGUAAAGAGCUCGUAGGCGGUUUGUCGCGUCUGCCGUGAAAGCUCACAGCUUAACUGUGGGUCUGCGGUGGAUACGGGCAGACUUGAGGCAGGUAGGGGAGAGCGGAAUUCCCGGUGUAGCGGUGAAAUGCGCAGAUAUCGGGAGGAACACCGGUGGCGAAGGCGGUUCUCUGGGCCUGUACUGACGCUGAGGAGCGAAAGCGUGGGGAG